UGACCUCGGAUCAGGUAGGGAUACCCGCUGAACUUAAGCAUAUCAAUAAGCCGGAGGA
rnacentral:rRNA from 2 species